GUUUUUCCUUUCGGUUUUUUAUGUUUAUUUUUACUGGUUUGUUGUUUGUUAGUUGUUUGUUUUUAUUUUCGGCAUGAGGUUUGGUUAUUUUUGUGCUUAUGUUAUGCUAUCGAGGUAAGAAAGGGGUCGAUGAGUAAUGGGUCGGCAAAUGCCUGUAUUAUAGGUUCUUUGAAGGUUGGAUAAAAGAAUGAAACAUGGACUGCUGGUAGAAAUUUGCUUGGUGGUAUUUUUCAGAUUUUGGGAGAUUGGGUGUAGGUUCUUGCUGUGUGUAACAUAGCUGAAACUGUUUUUUUUUCAUCUUCCCUGGAACGGAACGCCGGACUUUGCCAUCCUACACUCAGUGUGAGUGAAAUCAGCUCAUGCUUCUCGGUGUAGCAGCUCAGAGUGCACGGCCUGGCCGGCGUGGGGGUUUGGUGGCCACGUGGUGUUGGCCGGUGGUUGUGCAGAGAGUUGGUAGAAUUGCCGUUUGGUGGUGCCUGGUAUUGGUUGAACUGUGGUUCCCAUACAGGUGAACGGUUACUGGCGUAAGGUGUGCCAGGUGGG